GUGGGAAUCCAGCCCCUGGGAUCUCAGACUGGGACCUCAUUUGGGAACAAGGUCCUUACAGAAGCAACCAAGUUAAAGUGAGCUCACUGGGGUGGUGUCCUGUGUGGCUGGUGUCCCUAUAAGCAGGGGGACUUUGGACACAGACGUACACAGAGGGAAGACAAUUAAAGACACAGAGAAGACAGUGUCUAUCAGCGGAGGCCGGAGGCCAGGCACAGACUCCCCUCAGGACCCUGGGAAGGAGCCUUGACCACAGACUCCAGGCCGGACCUGUGAGCAGCAGCUCGCUUGGGAACCCCUUGGCCGGAGCAAGCUCAUGGGUCAGGCGAGUUGACGUGAGGCUGCUGGAGGAAUGACUGUGGCUGCCUUAAGUGGCUGGGAUCCCACGAGAGCAGGCAGCCCGAGCUUCCACCGAGGGCAGACAAGGUCAGGGGCAGGGAACCGCCGGGUCUGGGGACCAGAGAACCUGGGGAAGUGGCUUGUGGAGGAGCAAAGCCUGUGUCUGCACAAGAGCAUGUGGUGGGCUCACCAGGGCCUGGCGGGGGUGAGACUGCUGAGCUGCUUUGGAAGGGAGUGGGGACCAGCAGACCUGGGACAGACAUCUUUGUGCAGAAACUGCUGUGGAAUUGGAAGCCGGCCUCACUCUCCUAGAAAUCAAAGCAGUCAGCAAAAUGCCUCCUCCUUCAGGGAGCCCUCCUGGUUCAGGGUGUGUGUAUAGGAGAAAGAAACCACCUACUUCACGCUGGCUUGCGUAGUGAGCUGUAAGGAAUGUUCUGGCAUCUCCUCUGGGGUUCUGGCAUUCUGGGGAAACUGGCUGAGGAGACCUUGGAGCCCACUGGCCAGGGAUGAGAACAAUGCUUUGGGAGAGCCUGGGUUCUUGCACUGGAACCUCUGGGCUCGGUUCUGUGGAAAUUGUUCUGAGAAUCUGCCCUUGAUUUGGCUGCUCUGGAGCAUGGUGGCGGAGUCUGGGUGAGUGCCAGGCCCUGCUCCCACCCACCAUUGCUGUUCUGUGUGGUGGGGACUGAGGCUGAGAAGCCGAACACCAGCCAGAGCCCACAGGACUCACGUGGCAGGGGCAGGGCAGCCUGGUGCCCGAGCUCUCCUUGGCCCAUCUGGAGAAGGCUGGGCUGGCCAGGAGGUGGGGGGUCGGGUCCUGGAGCCCUCAGCCAGGGUAGAAGGAGGCCAGGGCCUGCAUCCCCUGCUGUGUCCCUACUGGGGAGUGGGUGGGCAGGAGCCCUGGCCAUCCAGGGCGUGUGGUGGCCCCCGGAGCAGUCGCACCCUCAUUCCUCACAGGUGGGCCCUCGUCCUCCAGAGAAACUGCAGCUGCUUUAUGAGGCCAGCCCGGCGGUGCAAAGCACUGGGGUGAUAAAGGAGGGCAGGGCCAUUACUUAUCGGGUUCAAUUGUUCCGGGGCCCUGGGCAGGGAGGUGGGGUCACUGCAGAGCACUCUGACAUCUGUGCUUGGGGCUCUGACUGCGGUUGGGGCCUGUGGAGGGGGUGUGGGGGUGCAGGGCUCCUGAGAACCCAGGAAGCAGCGAGAGGAAUGUUCCGGGACCGGCUUAGGCUCUGCCGUUCUGGGUGUUGGAGGGGAGGGCGGCUGCCUCUGCACAGCAGGGCCCGGACCAGGAUCUCACAGGUCCCCUGGGAGCUCUUGGACCAUAGUGGACAGAAGCACCAGGAUUUCUGGGGUCCUGGCUUUGGACCUGGGUGUUCCUCAUGUUGACGGGGGUCUCCCACACACCAGGUCCCUUUGUGGCAGGGGGGUCACCCUGAGCUACUGAACCAGCCUCACUUUCCGUAGGAGGCCAGGGGGAUAAUGGUGCAGGGUCCGUGGCUGUGGGCUUCAUGCUGCUGGGGGCCAAGAGGAAUAACCAGCGAUGACAUCAGAGCAGGUAUGCAGGAGACGCUGCCUGGGUCGGCACCCCGUGCCUCAGUUUCUCCAUCUGCAAAAGGAGUGACAACACUCCAGACCCCACAGGAUGACUGACUUCAAGGGGGAAAAGGGACUCCAGCCUGGCCUUUACUCCGAAUCUCCGGACAACAGCAGGCACUGGCACCAAAGACACCACCCCCUCCUGCGGAAGUGGAUUUCCAGCGCGGGCAAGUGGAAAGUGCUCAUGGGGGUGGGGGUGUCUGCCACUGCAGAGCUCGUUCUAUGAGGGGCCUCGUUCCUUCUUCCCACCAGCCUCUGCUGUGGGCAUCUGUAUCAGCCCCACCUUGCUGGGGAGGAGGUGGAGCUCUGCCUGGCCCAGGAGAGGGGCUUGGCCUCCAGCACACCUGGGUCUGGGGCCCUGCCUGGGCUGCCAGGGCAGCUUGGGGGACUACGUGAGGUCACCUGUUCAUUUUGCAGGAAUUCAUGGCCCUACGCUGUACAGGAUCUUCUCUGGGCUCUGGGAACAUAGCAGGUGUCAACAGCAGGUAGGGACUAUCAGUACUGCCACUGACAGCUGGAGGACUUGAGGCACAGAGCAGUUAUUACCCUAGGUUGCUGAACUAGGAAAGGGCACAGCCAGGAUGGACUCUCCAGCAGCCUGGCCUGGCGUCAGGAUGCUCGACCCCAAGAAAGUUCUGGAACUUCCCUGUGCUCUCCCUCUGGCUGCUCCGUGUGGGGCUCCGACUCCCAAGAGCCCCGGGGCUGCUGUGGGCAGAUAAUCAGGAAGCAGACAUUCAACUACAAAAGCAAACAUUGACCAAGGCAGGCAGCAGGGCCUAUGGCGUGGGAGCGCUACCUGGACCCCUCACAGACUGCCGGGUGGGGCUGGGGGCCGGGGACACCAGGAGCCGCCCACUGACCUGUGUGUCUGCCCUGUGGCUCCGUCUGUCCUGGGGUGCCUUUCUUUCCUCCCUGUCAGGCCACACACAUGAGGAGCCAGCUCCCAUGCAGAGGGCCCCCUCAUCGCCCCACAUGGACACACCUACUUUCCAUUGUCACCUGUCAGCAUGUCCGGGCUGUGCUCCAGUCCUGACUGUGGCCCUGAUCCCUCUGGGACUGAUCCAACCCCUCCCCCUUCUGCACCAACUACAGGAAGAAGGGCUUCCACUAGGCCAGCACCCAGGGCUCCUCAGGCCCCCACUCUGAGCCACCGUGUAGCGUGGGCUCUGAGGGAGCAGGGUCAGUGGGAGCCGGCAGGGACAGAGUGGCCCUAGGAUGUGCUCUGCCGAGAGAGGGGAAUUGAGUCACUGCGUGGGGUCUUCCAUGGUGCCCUGGAGGGCACUUGGAGGAAGCUAACUAGAACAAACUGGGCACUGUCCACGUCGCUGGGCUCAGCAGGGGUCACCCUUCCCAGGGUGGGGACUAUGAGGUCUUCACUCAACUGUGAUGCCACACCAGAUUAUCUUGCUAUCCAGCAUGUCCUCAGUCUGAACUGUGCUCUGACCAGACAAUCACACCAAGACCCAACUCCCCCACACAAUGCGACUGAGAUCUGUGUUUUUGGAGAUGAUUGCCUGAUUUCUCCCAAAAAGGGUUUUAACUUUUCAUAGACAGGGGGAUUCUAGGAGCCUCAUGACUUUCCCUAAUUUUCCCUCCACCUCCAACACGUACCUGCCCACCUCGUCCAAGCCCCGGGCUUGACAGGUGUCCCCUCUGAGAACAUUACUGCACUGACUUUGUCCCCGAGGGUGAGGUGAACCGCUGGGGACUGAUGCCAGGGACUGGGGAGUGGCCGUGCCCUGAAGGAAGGUCAAGGCACAGGAGUCAUGUAACGCACCUUCUCCAACCACAGCACAACCAUGUGAGGACUGAUGACAAGAACGGAGUGGAAAAUACCCGGCCAUCUGGGAAUUACAAAAACAACCCAUCAGCCAAACAAGAAACCAUAAUGGAAACCGAUAUUUGGAACUGAAUGAUGAAAAAGUACUUCACAGUAAAACUUGUAGGAUCCACCUAAAAUUGCAUGGAAGGAUAAUUCUAUGGAUUUAAAUGGUUAUAUUAGAAAAGAAGGAUGUCUGAAAAGUAAUGAGCCGAACAUCCAGCUCAAUAAACUAGAAAAAGGGGAACAAAGAAAGAAGGAAAUAAAAAAAUAAGAGCAGAAAUUAAUGAAAUGGAAAACAAUAUACAAAACAAAGGAAUAACUAACGCCAGAAGCUUGAUCUUUGAAAGGACAUCAGUUUUAGUGAUCUGUUUCAUUGCAGUGACCGCAGUUAAUAAUAAUGCAUUUUAUGUUUUUAAAUUCUUAAAAGAAUAGAUUUUAAAUGUUUUCACCACAAAAAAUAAUGUGUUGAUGAGGUGAUAGAUAUGUCAAUUAGCUUGAUUGAAUCUUUCUACAAUGUAUACAUAGAAUAAAACAUUACAUUGUACCCCAUAAGUAUACACAAUUAUUAAUUGUUAAUUAAAAAUAAAUAAAAUGUAAAAAACCUGUAAAGCCCUGGUAAGUCAGAUCAAGAAAAAUGUGAGAAAGCAUGAAUAGCCGGUAUUAGGAAUGAAAAAGAGAACAUCUCUACAGAUCUGAUAGAUCUCUAAAAUUUAAGAAGAGAAAAAAUUAUAAGUGAAUAUUAUACUAUUAUUAUUAUUAUUAUUAUUAUUUUGAGACGGAGUUUCCCUCUUUGUUGCCCAGACUGGAGUGCAAUGGUGUGAUCUCAGCUCACCACAACCUCCGUCCCCCGGGUUCAAGUGAUUCUCCUGCCUCAGCCUCCCGAGUAGCAGGGAUUACAGGCACGAGCCACC
rnacentral:lncRNA from 1 species